AGGAAGAUGACGAAGAUGAAAGUCGGGAUGAGAUAGCAGAGAGCGGUACUGGGUGGGAGAAGAUGCUGAGCAAGAAAGAAAAACUUUUGGAUAAACAGUUCAAGGAUCCAAGUCAAAUUACGUGGGAGACCGUCAACAAGAAGUUCAAGGAAAUUGUUGCUGCUAGGGGUAGAAAGGGGACUGGAAAGAUUGAAUUGGUUGAACAGCUCACCUUCUUGACCAAGGUGGCCAAGACUCCGGCACAAAAGCUUGAAAUUCUGUUUAGUGUUGUUUCUGCGCAGUUUGAUGUUAAUCCAAGUCUCAGUGGACACAUGCCUAUAAAUGUGUGGAAAAAGUGCGUGCAGAAUAUGCUUACCAUCGUUUAGUGUUGUGUCUGCGCAGUUUGAUGUUAAUCCAAGUCUCAAUGGACACAUGCCUAUAAAUGUGUGGAAAAAGUGCGUGCAGAAUAUGCUUACCAUCCUCGAUGUUUUGACCCAAUACCCAAACAUUGUGGUUGAUGACAUGGUGGAGCCGGAUGAAAAUGAGACCCAGAAAGGAGCAGACCACUCGGGGACGAUAAGGAUCUGGGGAAACUUGGUUGCCUUUGUUGAAAGGAUAGAUGUAGAGUUUUUCAAGAGCUUGCAGGUAAUUGAUCCACAUACCCGUGAGUAUGUUGAGAGGCUGAGGGAUGAGCCGUUGUUUUUGGUUCUUGCUCAAAAUGUCCAACAUUAUCUAGAACGGGCAGGAGACUACAAGGGUGCUGCAAAAGUGGCUCUCAAACAGGUUGAAUUCAUUUAUUAUAAACCACAAGGAGUGUAUGAUGCUAUGAGGAAGUUGGCUGAGCUUACGGAAGCUUUACCAUUUAUUAUAAACCACAAGGAGUGUAUGAUGCUAUGAGGAAGUUGGUUGAGCUUACGGAAGGAGAAGGAGAGGCAGAGUCUAUAGAAGAAAACAAAGUUGUUGAGGAGAGUAGAGGUCCAACUGCAUUUGUUGCAACUCCAGAGCUUGUGCCCAGGAAACCUGCAUUUGAAGAGAACAGCAGGACAUUGAUGGACAGUCUCGUUUCUCUCAUAUAUAAAUAUGGGGAUGAGCGCACCAAGGCCCGUGCAAUGCUCUGUGAUAUAUACCACCAUGCUAUCUUGGAUGAGUUUUCAACAUCCCGUGACUUGUUAUUGAUGAGUCACUUGCAAGAUAAUAUCCAGCACAUGGACAUUUCAACUCAGAUACUUUUCAACAGAACCAUGGCUCAGCUCGGUCUCUGUGCAUUCAGGGCGGUACUUGUUGCAGAAGCGCAUGGCUGCUUGGCUGAACUCUAUUCUGCCGGCAGGGUAAAGGAGUUACUUGCGCAAGGUGUCUCCCAAAGUCGUUAUUACGAGAAGACCCCAGAACAGGUUUCUUUGCUGAAAAAUUUCAUUCUUUUUCUUUUAUGCAAGAAAUUUAUUGUUAUUACGUGCCCUUAUGUUCCUCCAUUGUUAUGUUUUGGGGUUAGCUGCUUUAUUGUACUUCAUAAUUGUGGUAGCUAGUAUGUUUCAGAGUGCUUGUGUGGCGUAGCUCCACAAGAAAGUGGGUUCCAGUUGAAAUUCGAAAAAGAAAAAUCAGUUUAUUUGUUGGUUUACUUAAUGAGUUAAGCGGGUAUCUAAAAGUUUCCCUCAUGGUUUUCAUAACUAGCAGAACUUGUUCUUUGGGAGAUUGCUCGGGAGUAAAUCAGUGAUAGUAAAAUUUAAAGAACUUCACAGAACUUUAAAUUAAUUCCAUCAGUUUUUGCAGUGUAUAAAGUUGACUUCCAAAGUAGGGACUAACCACUUGAUUGAACAUGUACACAUGGACAAUUAGUUAGCCAAAUUCGCCCGAACAAAUUCAUAGUAACUGAAAUAAUCAUAUAUUUUAUAUCAGAUUGCACCUUCAACUGACUCAUUUCUCAGAGUAGGUUUUUUUGUUGUGAAAUUUCAUCAUUAUGAUUCUUACCAAAGCUUCUAAACAAUGCAUGUUGUUGGGCACUUUUAGGAGCGGAUGGAGAGGAGGCGUCAGAUGCCGUAUCAUAUGCAUAUAAAUCUUGAGCUUCUUGAGGCCGUCCAUUUGACAUGUGCAAUGCUACUUGAAGUGCCAAACAUGGCAGCUAAUAGCCAUGACAUGAAGCGUAGGGUUAUUAGCAAGACAUUCCGGAGAUUGCUUGAGGUAAGUGAGAGGCAAACUUUCACCGGCCCACCUGAAAAUGUGAGGGACCAUGUAAUGGCAGCGACAAGGGCCCUCAAGCAAGGAAACUUUGAAAAGGCUUUUGAUGUUAUCAACUCCCUUGACGCGUGGAGGCUACUACGCAACAAGGAUAGUGUUCUUGAGAUGCUUAGGGGAAAAAUAAAGGAAGAGGCACUGAGGACCUAUCUUUUCACAUAUUCUUCUUCUUAUAAUUCUGUGAGUUUGGAUCAGCUUGCAGGGAUGUUUGACCUUUCAGAGUCACAGAUCCAUAGCAUCGUGAGCAAAAUGAUGAUUUCUGAGGAGCUUCAUGCAAGCUGGGAUCAACCAUCCCGAUGCAUGGUCUUUCACGAUGUUGAGCAUACAAGACUGCAGGCUUUGGCAUUCCAGUUGACUGAAAAGCUGUCAGUAUUAGCAGAAAGUAAUGAAAGAGCAACAGAAUCGAGGAUAGGUGGGGGUGGAUUGGAGGGCAUUCCCCUGAGGCGGAAGGACGGCCAAGAUUAUGCUGCUGCGCUUUGGCCUUCCAGUUGACGGAAAAGCUGUCAGUAUUAGCAGAAAGUAAUGAAAGAGCAACAGAAUCGAGGAUAGGUGGUGGUGGAUUGGAGGGCAUUCCCCUGAAGCGCAGGGACGACCAAGAUUAUGCUGCUGCAGCUGCUGGUGCUGGUAAGUGGCAGGACUUCUCCUUCUCACAAGGCAGACAAGGUGGCGGUGGUGGCCGAACAGGAUAUGUCGGUGGUAGAUCAGCUUCUGGGCAAGCAUCGAGGGACCGUUCUAAUCAGGCGCGGGGGACUUACGGUGGUCAAGGCUCAAGAUAUCAUAGUGGUGGAGGUGCGAGGGGAAGUCAGAUGGACGGAUCAGGUCGCAUGGUUAAUCUUAACAGGGGGAUCCGCGCUUAGAGAGCUGUGCACAAAGUUUUGCAUAAGAGAGGAUCACAGAGCACUUUGAGGUCCUGGUUGUAGUAAAAUUUAUAGCUUUCAUUGUGUCACAUUGUUUUCUGCGACUUUGUAGCAUUUUUUGGCAAUGCUAUACUACUUUUCUCAUUAAUGACAUUCAUUAUGUUGGGUACAUUCUUUUCUAAUUUAAUCUGCAUCGAUUAUUAGCUGGUUUAUACUGCUUUUCUCAUUUAAUGACAUUCAUUAUGUUGGGUACAUUCUUUUUUAAUUUAAUCUGCAUCGAUUGUUGGCUGGUUGUUGGCUGGUGACAACCUAGAAUUUUGUCGCCUUCAAAGUCGUUUUUUCUUUUAUUCUUUGCUAGCUAAUACACAAUAGUAAUUGGGAGAUUAGGUGUAUCACAAGUAUCAUUAGCAGCAGGCAUGGAAACAGUUGUUUUUUCAGGAAGUAAUCAGAGGCUGAAAACCUUAAUUCCCUGUAUAAGAGUGGUGCAGAAGAUUAUGCCAUAAUUUCAUGAGUGUAAUAAAGCAAAUUCAAAUCUGUUUGUGCGAGAAGGCAAUAUGACUAUCUAUUGAAAUUGCCGUUGAACAAUUUAAAAUUGAGCAAUUUUGAUCUAUUAAACUUUUUUUCUGAUGUUACUCCCGUAGUUAGGAAAGUCUCACUUUUGGCCUUGAACUCCAAAUGACAGUAACUUUAAAUGUCAUAGUCAAAAGUUCAGAGGUAAAUUAAAAUCUUUUUUCUCAAAGAAUUGGACUCAUUGAAGGAGUCCAGAGCUAUAUAUGAAGAGAGAUAACUGUUAUCGCAAACAGGUCUACCAAAGCAUUGCUCCGAUACCAUAAUAUGAAAGAAUGUGUAUUUCAACCCAAAACCUUAGACAAUGGUUGGAGUAAAAGUACGGAAUUGAAGAAAUUAAAGACAAGAUAAAAAUUGAGAAUAGAUCAACAAAGAAGUAAUUAUCAAUUAAUUGAAACAAUCCAUUACCCAACAAAUUACAAUACUUAGUAGAGCAGAACUAUAGGAUUACCCUCAAGAGGAAUGGACUUCUGCUCUCCUUAUUAGUUUAGUGCCAACUCCGCUAGGUAUAGGUAGGGAGUCUUCUACAAGUCGCAUUACUGGUCGAUGACCCGAUUUUGGAAGCAGUCGAGAUGCCUUUGCUGGGGGAACCCUUCCUUGCAUUCUUUUAUUGUAUUCGCUUCAAUCGCCCAUGAUUGAGAAAUUUUUGAAGCAGUCGAGAUGCCUUUGCUGGGGAACCCUUCCUUACAUUCUUUUAUUGUAUUCGCUUCAAUCGCCCAUGAUCCUCAAGAUGAAUGGACUUAUGAAUGUACCUUGGAAGAGUUUGAAUCAAUAAGUUGAAAACACAUGCUCCUCACAAUUCUUCAAUAUUCAAAGAUAAGCUAAACUUGAAAUGACUUCAUCAUAUCUAAUUUACAACCGAGUUCAUCUAACACGAAAAUUUCUUCAUUAAUUGCACAAAUUCUAGCUUUUAAAUUAUUUGCUACAAUGAUAUUAGCUGCCGUAUUAUCUAAUGUGAUAGUUAAACUUUAUUAAAAGACCAUAAAAUUGAAGUAUUUCUUGAACGAUAGGUCUAAUAUAUGUUAUGGUAUAUUUUGAAUCAACAAAUUUAUAAUCAAUAAUACGUUUUUGCAUGUUUCAGUGAUAAUCAAUCCAAUAGCAUGUAACAGUUAAAUAAUCAUUGACAUUAGGACUAUGACCCAUAUCAUAUGUGAUUGAUACACACUUUACAAUCUAAGUGGUAAAAUACACAACGUAUGUACAAAAGAUAACAACAACAACAACUACCCAGUAUAUUCCCACAAAGUGGGGUCUGUGGAAGGUAAUACGUACACAGGCCUUACCCCUACCCGAAAGGGUAGAGAGGCUAUUUCCGACCGACCAUCGGCUCAGAGAAAGAGAGAGAAAAUCAAACAAAACCAAACAGCAUUAGUAAAUCCAGCAUAAAUCAUAUUAAUAUUUAUCUAAACAUAAAACCAAGAAUAAAAUAACAUGCAAUAAUAUCAAUCAGUCACUACCAUAAGAGGCACAAUAGAAUACAUAAAACAACUAUAGAGAGCCCUGCCAAACCCCACCCAGCCUAGACUUCCAGACUUUCCUAUCAAGGGCCAUGUCCUCGGAAAUCCUCAUUCUAGCCAUAUCAUGCCUAAUCACCUCACCCCAAUACCUCUUAGGCCUCCCUCUGCCUCGACUCGCGCCAACCACCGCUAGUCGCUCACAACUCCUCACCGGAGCAUCAGGGUUUCUCCUCCGCACAUGCCCAAACCACCUGAGUCUCACUUCUCGCAUCUUCUCAUCCACUAGGGUCAACCCACCUUCUCCCGAAUAACUUCAUUCUUAAUAUUAUCUAACAUGGUGAGCCCGCACAUCUACCUGAGCAUCCUCAUCUCCGCAACUUUUAUUCUCUGAACAUGAGAGUUCUUCACAGGCCAGCACUCCACCCCAUACAGCAUGGCAGGUCUAACCACCGCUCUAUAAAACUUCCUCUUGAGUUUCUGUGGGACUUUUUUGUCACAUAAAACUCCAGAUGCAAGCCUCCACUUCAACCAACCCGCUCCUAUACGAUGAGCAAUAUCCCUGUCGAUCUCUCCCUCCCCUUGAAUCACCGACCCAAGAUAUCUGAAACUGUCACUCUUGGCUAUGACCUGAGAUCCAAUCAUCACGUCCCUGCCUACUUCGCUCGGCUCGGCGCUAAACUUGCACCCCAAGAUAUCUGAAACUGUCACUCUUGGCUAUGACCUGAGAUCCAAGCUUCACGUCCCAGCCUACUUCGCUCGACUCGGCGCUAAACUUGCACUCCAUAUAUUGUUAAAGAUAGUCAUUUUGAAAUUUAAAAAUAUCAUUUCCAAAUAUGGUCAUAGGAAAACUUUGAAAAACGAGAUUAUAAGUUUCUUGUAUAUAAUGCACAAAAAUAGGGUGAGUAGGAAAAGUAAAAGGUAAGCCAAAGACAACAACCACUUUUGCUAAUUUUCACGAUCUCUAUCUUUGUUAUAGAGACGUAGUAUAGUAUCAGUAAUAGGGUGAAACUGUUGUUGGACAUAGUUAGAACCCCCAACAGAUCCAAUAGGAGCGCCAGAACUGCUGCUAGGAUCCAAUAUUUUCUGGUAUCUAUUUGCAUUUUUAUCCAUAUAGGUUUGUGUUUACCAAGCAAGUGCCUAGUUAAAACUCUCGUCCCACUCGAUUUUCACGUGUACCAUGUGAAAAUUGUGCUUUACAUUUUUUACAAGUAGCUAUUGAAGCGAAUUUACCUAAACCAAAAAUAUUCCAUACAAGUGAUGUUCUCGUACGUUCUACCUUAGCCUUAAUCCUUACAGGAGAUAUAGGGGGAGAUAAACUCUAGACUAAAAUUGACUCUGAUAUUGUUGGACUUGUGGGUAUUUUAUCUUUGUAGGUUUCAUAAUCUAGUGAUUCUUCCGAAUUAAUAUCAUAAAAUCCAUGGGUUUGGAUAAAGAAAGUUUCAUCAACAUGAGUCGUACCCUCUAUAUAUUGUCUAACUCUAGCAAGAGGAUUCAGAUUACUACUAGAACUAUCACAUUUACUAUUUUUUUAAAUGGGUUGGUUAUGUCAAAUACUCUUUUAUGAACCAUAAUUUAAAUACGAAAUGUAAGCAAAUAAAUAAACACAUAAAAUGAAGCAAGAAAAGUAAACACAAAAAUUAAACGCUAAAAUAUACGCAAAAACUAAAUAUAAAAAUUAAGAGAUGGAAUGAGUGCACCGUGAUUAAAUAUUUAAAUUUGAAGAAAUUGCCCAAAAAAAUAUUCCAAAUACUUAACGAAUUAAUUUGAAGCUUGAAACUUGUUCCAGUAAUUUGCCCAAACACUUGAAAUGUAGUUGAUUAUCAAAAAAUAGAGAGAAGAAUAUAGAUAUAAUGUAAGAGAUUAGAGAGAGAAUGAAGAUUUGUGUGGGGAAAAAAAGAAUAGGGGUAUUCUUUUUAGUUAAAAUAGGAUCAAAGCAUAAUUUAAUAAACUUAAGAGUUAAAUUAAAAGUUUGGGGGGAUGAGAAGGGGUAUUUUAUAACAAAAAUAAUACGCAAAAAAUAAAUAUAAAAAUUAAGAGAUGGAAUGAGUGCACUAUGAUUAAAUAUUUAAAUGUGAAGAAAUUACCAAAAGAAUUGCUCAAAAUACUUGACGAAUUAAUUUGAAGCUUGAAACUUGAAAUGUAGUUGAAUAUGAGAAAAUUGAGAGACGAAUAUAAAUAGAAUGUAAGAGAUUAGAGAGAGAAUGAAGAUUUGUGUGGGAAAAAAAUGGGGGUAUUUUUGGUUUAAAUAAAGUAUAAUAUAAUAAACUAAUAAACUUAAGAGUUAAAUUAAAAGUUUUUUUUUGGGNNNNNNNNNNNNNNNNNNNNNNNNNNNNNNNNNNNNNNNNNNNNNNNNNNNNNNNNNNNNNNNNNNNNNNNNNNNNNNNNNNNNNNNNNNNNNNNNNNNNNNNNNNNNNNNNNNNNNNNNNNNNNNNNNNNNNNNNNNNNNNNNNNNNNNNNNNNNNNNNNNNNNNNNNNNNNNNNNNNNNNNNNNNNNNNNNNNNNNNNNNNNNNNNNNNNNNNNNNNNNNNNNNNNNNNNNNNNNNNNNNNNNNNNNNNNNNNNNNNNNNNNNNNNNNNNNNNNNNNNNNNNNNNNNNNNNNNNNNNNNNNNNNNNNNNNNNNNNNNNNNNNNNNNNNNNNNNNNNNNNNNNNNNNNNNNNNNNNNNNNNNNNNNNNNNNNNNNNNNNNNNNNNNNNNNNNNNNNNNNNNNNNNNNNNNNNNNNNNNNNNNNNNNNNNNNNNNNNNNNNNNNNNNNNNNNNNNNNGGCGCAUUUUUGACCAAUUUUAACCGUUGUCAACAGUUAUUUUUGAAAAUAAAGCCAUUGUAUAAUAGCUACUUUAUUUACAAGAAAAUAUUUCGCGGGUUGUUGGGCCGGGACUGAACCUUUACCGAACCGGCGCACCGGGACAAAAGAGAUGGUUUGUCCCAUCCCAUGUCCCUUUACCCUCAAUAUUCUAUCUCACUAACACAUGACGAGCCGGGAUAGGAUUUAGGGGGAGGGGCCAUUUUUGACUAAUUUUAGUCGUUGCCGACGGUUAUUUUUGAAAAUAAAGCCAUUGGUUAAUGGUUAUAUUAUUUAAAAAGAAAAUUAUUUUGCGGAUUGUUGGGCCUGGACCGGCCCACCGGGACAAAAUAGAUGAUCCGUCCCAUCCCACGUCCCUUUACCCUUUAUGUUCUAUCUCACUAAUACAUGGCGAGCUAGGAUAGGACCGUGAUGGGCCGGGCCAUUCCGUCCUUUUGGGCGACCUUAGUAUUGACCAAAAGAAGGAGCUUAAAAAUAAUGAAGGCAAAAUAGAAAUGAGAAAUGACCUAAUAAUCUCACCAUAUUUGGUUGUUAGAUAAACUAAUUAUUUUUCUUUUUACAUAACAAAUUAUCUAAUAAUGCAUACAAUAAAUUAUAAGAGGAAUAAAUUGGAAAUUUUAAUAAAAUAUUAUAUUUAAAAUAACAAUAAAAUUCGAAGUCCAAAUCACUUGUAGCUUCAUAUGCUAAAAUUAAAAUUGCCCUAAAUUUUGCAUGAAUUAUUGGCUACACCCGUAAACUAUUUAUAAUUUUAAUUGGUAUCUCCCUGAACUUGGGUAUUCAAUAGUCGCUACCCCAUUAAUAAUCUCAUCUCAGAAAAGUCGCACGCACCUGCCACAUGAAUUUUUCUAUCAAUGUAAUAUUUUUAUUUUAAAUAUAAAAUAUACUUCUUAUUUUUUUAAAUGAUUAAUUUCUUAGAUCAUCUUUUUCAAAUAAUAUUUGUAAUAUAACUUGGCUAGAACUCCAUAAUUUAGGUAAAACAAAACUUAUUUGGAUAAAAUUGAUAAAGCUUUAGUAAUUUCAUUUAAAAUUUAUCUUGAAAUGAAGAAAUACACCGUUAAAACAAAUAGUCAUAGACGUAAAAAUGAUAUAAAAAUAAAUAAUAUGAACUUUAUUAUUCAGGCUAAAAAAAUAUUUAGCUAAAUUAUGAAGCUCUAAGAAAGCUUUUUUUAUUUUACAAAAAAGAUAUACAACAAAUAAAAAAACUUUCAGUGUAAUCUCACAUGUAAGGUCUGGGGAGGGUAGUGUAUACGCAGACUUUAUUCUUACUUUUAUGAAGGCAGAGAGGAUAUUUUCGAUAGACCCUUGACUCAUGAAAGAUAAAAAAUAAAGGGGGCAAUAACAAGUAGACUAAUUGAGAAAUCAAACUGAAAAUAUAAAACUAACACUAGAUAACGCAAUAAAAAAACAGAAACAAAAGCAACAACAAGUAAUAACAUAAGUUUAGGAGUACAAAAAUAUAUGAAUAAUACUAAGUAAUAUAUUAAAGCUACCGUUACAAAUAAGAACACCUGGCUACCUAACUCUUUACAUUUAUUCUCAACCUCCACACUUUCCUAUUCAUGGUCGCGUUCUCAGUAAACUGGAGCAUCGUCAUAUGUUGCCUAACCAUCUCUCCCGAAUACUUUUUCGGCCUGCUUCUACCUCUCCAAUGACAACAUCUCACACCUUCUCACUGGUGCAUCUGUGCCUCUUCCUCUUCACAUGCCCGAACCAUCUAAGUCUCUCCUCCCGCAUCUUGUCCCCUACAAGGGCCAUGCAUACCUUGUACUGAAUAACUUUAUUUCUAAUUCUACCAAACUUGGUAUGCCCACACUUCUAUUUCAAUAUUCUUAUUUCAGCCACCUUCAUCUUCUAGAUAUUGAAGUUCUUGACUUACCAAUACUCUUCUCUAUACAAUAUAGUCUGCCUGAUGUAAAAGAAGAAUCUAUGUUAAAUUUUAUUAAAUUUAGCCAAGAUAAUAUUUUUAGAGCUCAAGUCCAAAAAUAUGGACUUAUUUUCAAGAAGCGCAAGAAGUCAAAGAAGCUCAUGAUUGAUUUCAAGAAGCCAAUAUUCUUUCCUUCUUAUAAUAGGAUUUAUUUUAUUCCGUUUAGAAUAAGAAUUUUUCUUUUAGUAGGAUUCCAGUUUCUUUUCCUAGUAUAAUAGGGAUUUUACUUUUCUUGUCUUUAGAUAUUUUAUUUUCUUAUUAGAAUAUGAAUAGUAGUCAUCAAAGAAGAGACCCUAGACCUAUAUAAAGGGUUCUCAUGCCUUGUAGGGGAGGAAUUCACGAUUUUGGAGAUUUACCCUAAUUUGCAAUAGAGUGUUUUCUCUAUUUUGUCUUUUUAUCCUUGUUUUUUGUUCCGAGGAAGGUGGUGAUAGUCUUUGUCUUGUCUUCAAUUGCGUGUGGUAUUUGUUUAUCACAUUAAUUGAUUUCGACUUUAGAAGUUUGUUUAGUUCUUGAUCUUUCAAGAACUCAUUUCUUGAUAUAAAUUUAUUCUUUUGAUGUCAUAGAAUCAUAACUUAAAUUGAAUUGGUGUAGUAACAAUAUUUACUAGUUUUGAAUGAGUAAAUAGUCUUUCUUAUAGUUUUGAUCGUCAUCUUUCACCUUAUUUUUGAAUCAUCAGAUUCCGAGUCCUAAGACUUAAGAUACAUUGUUUCUUGAAAUCUACCUAUAAACUACGUUUUCGUUACAAGAUCUUGAUCCGAGUCGGUUUGUUCUUUGUUAACCCAAAGAAUUACAUCACUGUCUGAUCAUCACUUUAUAAAACUUACCUUUAUAUUUUGAUGCAACAUUCUUAUCACAAUAAAAUACCAAAAGUGAGCCACUAUUUCAUCCGAUCGCCCCAAUUCUAUGUGUUACAUCCUCUUAGAUCUUCCUAUUCCCUUGUAUAACUGGCCCGCGAUACUUGAAACUCUCCUAGGUAUGACUUGUGAAUCAAGACUAACAUCUUCGUUCACUACGAUAGUCACACCAUUAAACUUGCACUCCAACUAUUCUUUCUUCGUCAUACUCAAUUGAAACCUUUAGACUCCAGGGUAUGCGUCCAAACCUCUAACCUCUCGUUAACACCGCCUCGCGUCUCAUCAAUUAGUAUAAUAUCAUCGGUGCGUUGAUCGCUAGAGCAAAUAGAAAUGGGCUAAGGGUUGACCCCUAGUACAACCCUAUCACAACCAGAAGUGUCCCGAACCCUGCCUACUGUCCUCACUCGUGUCUUAUAGCCGUUUGGCCAAGCUGCAAAAUCAGCUUAUUUUGAGAAGUGUUUUUUUUCAAAAGUGCUUUUCUCAAAAGUACUUUUGGUAGGUGAAGUAGGUUGUCAUAAUUAAACAAUGGCUCGUGAUCCAUUUGUACUUGGAUGGACACAAUGCUCCAGUGAAUUAUCAAACCUAACUUUCUGCAAAAGUGAAUGAAGGAAAUGAUUUAUUUUUUUUGGGUUGCCAAAACCGUGAUAGGAUUUUUCAUAAGUACCAACUUUUUCCCAUUUUAGUCAAACUUUUCAGAUUAAACAUUAUUUAUAGUUCGUUUGGCCAGGCUGCAAAAAUUAACUUAUUAGAUAAAUAUUUUUUUUAAAAUAAUUUUUUUCAAAAGUAUAUUUGGCGAGAAGAAGUUUGUAUUUGGCUAAUUAAUUUAAAAAACACUUUUGGGCAGCAAUUAGUGUUUGGCCAAGCUUUAAAAAAUUGCUUCUAAGUGUAUUUUUCUCGAAAUUGCUUCUCCAAAACUGCUUCUGCUUCUCCUCAAAAGCAUUUUUUUCCUUCCAAAAGCUUGGCCAAACACCUCAAUUUUUGGCCAAAAGUGCUCUUGGCCCAAAAAAACAUUUUGGCCAAAAAUAAGCUUGGCCAAAUAGGCUAUUAGUCUAUCAUACAAGUCCUUAAUAGCCUUAAUAUAUGUAACAUGAAUACUUCUAGACUCCAAAUAUCUCCACAUAACCUCCAUCAGUACUUUAUCAUAAGCCUUCUCUAAGUCGAUUAACACCAUAUGUAAAACCCUCUUCCUCUCCCUAUACUACUCUAUCAACCUCUCAACAAGAAGAAUAGCUUCUGUAUUCCUCACCCCCUGCUCCAUCACCCUUUCGUAGACUUUCAUAGUAUGGCUUAGUAACUUGAUGCCUAGAAAGUUAUUGCAAUUUUGGAUAUCACACUUGUUCUUAUAUAAUGAGAUCAUUGUACUCUAUCUCCAUUCUCCGAACAUCUUCUUUAUUCUAAAAAUGAUAGUAAAUGACCUGGUGAGCUACUCCAAGCUCGCCUUGUCCAUGCUCUUCCAAAAUUUCACCGGGACUUUAUCUAGCCCGACCGCUCUCCUCCUGCUCAUCUUGUUCAUAGCCCCCUCUAGCUCCUCAAUUUUUAUAUGACUACAAUACCCAAAGUCCUAACGACUCUCGUAGUGUUCUAAGUUACCUAACACAAUGUUCAUAUUCCUUUCUUUGUACAAGAGUUUAUGAAGGUAUGUUCGCUAUCUUCACCAAAUAAGUGCCUCAUCCAACAAAACUCUGCCUUCAUCGCCCUUGAUGUACUUCACUUGAUCCAGGUCACAUGUCUUUUUUUCUUGUAUCUUGGCUAGCUUAUACAACUUCUUGUCUCCUCCUUUGCCUCCAAGUUCUUCGUAUAAAUGUUAAAAUGCAGCAGUUUUAGCAGCUGUAACAACUGUUUCCUUCUUAACCAUCUUAUAUCGCUCCCUAUUUGUCCUCUUCUUCUCCUCGUCCACACUCUCUAAAAACUUUAAAUAUGUCACUAUUUUGGUGUUCACUUUACCUUGGAUCUCAGUUUUUCACCACCAGUUCCUUAUGGCGGCCACCAGAGGAGCCCUUCGAGACUUCCAGUACCUCGCUAGCAGCUCCCCUAAUGUAUUUCGGAGUCGAAGUCCACAUACCACUCGCGCCGUUACUACUCCUCCAUGCUCCUAUAGUCGAUAACUUAUCCCCAACUCCUGAGCUCUGUCUUUAGCUAAAAUUCCCCACUUGAUCCUAGGUAAACCAAACACAACCUUUUUUCUUCGCUUCCUCAUAGUUUCGAAAUUCAUAAUCAGAACCUAUACUGGGUCAUGAGGUUCUCAUUUGGGAUGACGUUGCGGUCCACACACAGCUUUAUGAAGGGUAGAUAAUCCCAAGGAAAUAGCUAUAGCAUAUAACAAAGAGAAGCACACAACUAAUAUAAAAUAGCCAUAACAUAUAAUAAAGGAAUAAAAGAGAAGUACGCAAGUGCAAGGUCAUUAUUUUGGCUAUACUUUUUUUAUUUAAUAAAAAAUAGUGGGGAUGUAGCCAAGUUUUUCUUACUGAUUUGAUUCAAAAUUAAAAGUACACAAUUGAAAUAAAUAGCCGCGUUAUUUAAUAAAAUAACAAGAAAUACACAAUUAGUACCCUAUUAUUUUAGUUAUUACAUUUUAUUUGGCUAAAAUAUAAAUUUCUGGACAAAUCUUCACAAAUUUGACUCGAUAAAAUAAAAAUAACAAUAAUAAUAAAUAGAUAUUAUAUCUAUAAAAGAAAUUAAUAAAAAUAAAAUAGGGUUGUAUUCAUGUUCUUUGUCCCAACAAUAUUCAGGAGGCUAACGACUAUCAAAUAACCACGUUCAAGGGGAUAGUUAAGUUUUAAAUAAUUUAAGUGUACAAUUAAUAAUGCAUGCCAAGUAUAAUAGAUAAAAAAUAUUUUUUUUCUAUCUAUAUAUAUACAUACAUAUACAUAUAUAUAUAUAUACAUACAUAUACAUAUAUAUAUAUACAUAUAUAUAUAUAUAUAUACAUAUAUAUAUAUAUAUAUAUAUANNNNNNNNNNNNNNNNNNNNNNNNNNNNNNNNNNNNNNNNNNNNNNNNNNNNNNNNNNNNNNNNNNNNCCAAGGUGGCCAAGACUCCAGCACAAAAGUUGAUAUAUAUAUAUAUAUAUAUAUAUAAUAUAAAGUUUAUAUAUUUGCAUUGCUACUAGAUACAAAUAGUUUCCGAGUCGUGGACUAAGUGAUUUUUGCCCGAAAACGAAAUACAUUGGGCCAUGGCCUUGUUCGAUUAGAAGACGAAAAGACGAGUCGGACCAACCCUUAUCAUUCUCUAGGGUUUUUACUAUAAAAAUCCAUUCACUUCUCUCUUUCUCGGCUAAGCUUUCUGUAAACCACAGUUCCAGCUUACAGGUUUGAAUCUUUUCUUCUUCAAAACUGGUGUUUGUAAAACCGCUAAAGUAUAUGUUGAUUUAUUCUCGAUCUGAUUUUUUCUUUUUAUUUUGAGUAAUUCCAGCUCAUUCUAUCUCCGUUUCUCGAAGAAUUUUUUGAAGAAGUAUGGCGUCCCGUUUUUGGACUCAGGUAAAUGAUUUUUUCACCUCAAUUAAAGAUUCCGGUUUUUCUUUAUGUGUUUGGAUGAGUAAAAUAAUCUAUUCACCAAUUUACAGUGGUAAAGAAUUUUUUUUUUUGAUAACUAUUGAUAGAGAUAUUUUUUUAAAUUUAUUUAUGAGAACUCUAUUGAUAGAUAAUCCUAAAUUUUAGUGAAUAUUGGAAUGAAUCUGCUCUAUAUAGAGCUAAAUGGAUAGUGAUAAUUCAUGUAGCCGAUCCCAGCCAGCUUUUGAUUGAGGCAUAAUAAAUUGUUAUAUGAUUGUACUUGCAUCUGGUUGUUUUGAAUUGGAUGCAAGAAGUGCCCGAACAUCAUGAAUGGAUACUUGCAUCUGGAUAUUUUGAAUUGCAAUUUCAUAAUCCAAUUAUUCAAUUUCUAAGUGACCUUUGGAUACAAAUCAUGAGAAUGCGUAUUUGUUCAUACUUUUUGCCAGCUAUUCUGCUGAAAAGCAAUUUACUUGUUUGUGUAAGCGGUGUGAUGUGAAAUAUAAUCUUAAACUGUUCAGAAGGAAUUGAUUAGUGAGCCUAGAAAAUUUAAGGUGCUGGGAAUGGGUGAUUUGUUUUUGUGUAUGGCAGUCUGUUGGGGAUAGCUCAUUCUGCAUAAAGUAUAAGGGUUUAGGAAAGGUGUUAUUUAAUUGAUUCAUACUAUGGUAUUUGCAGGGCGAUAGUGAAACAGAGGAGGAGGAGGAGAGUGAUUACGAGCAGGAGGAUGAUGAAGGGCCGGCUGAGACUACCGCUGCAGCGGCUGGGUCAAGAUACCUUGCAGCUGGCGACAGCGACAGUGAUGAGUCAGAUGGACAGAAGCGAGUUGUCCGGUCAGCAAAGGAUAAGCGCUUUGAGGAAUUGUCUGCUACCGUUGAUCAGAUGAAGAAUGCUAUGAAGAUUAAUGACUGGGUCAGCUUGCAGGAGAGCUUUGAUAAGAUCAAUAAGCAGCUGGAGAAGGUCAUGCGCAUUACAGAAUCGGUUAAAGCACCAAAUCUCUAUAUCAAAGCUCUAGUGAUGCUGGAGGAUUUCUUGAGUCAGGCUUUGGCCAACAAGGAGGCAAAGAAGAAGAUGAGUAGUAGUAAUGCUAAAGCCUUAAAUUCGAUGAAACAGAAAUUGAAAAAGAAUAACAAGCAGUAUGAGGAGUUGAUUAACAAGUACAGGGAAAAUCCUCCCGAGAGUGAGGAUGAGGCUGGUGAUGAUGAAGAGUCGGAAGAGGAAGAAGAGGAUGAUGAAGAGGAGUUUGAGGAGGACCCAACAAAGAUUGCAGCUGCAUCUGAUGAGGAAGAUGACGAAGAUGAAAGUCGGGAUGAGACAGCUGAGAGUGGUACCGGGUGGGAGAAGAUGCUGAGCAAGAAAGAAAAACUUUUGGAUAAACAGUUCAAGGAUCCAAGUCAAAUCACGUGGGAGACAGUCAACAAGAAGUUCAAGGAAAUUGUUGCCGCUAGGGGUAGAAAGGGGACUGGAAAGAUUGAAUUGGUUGAACAGCUCACCUUCUUGACCAAGGUGGCCAAGACUCCAGCACAAAAGCUUGAAAUUCUGUUUAGUGUUGUGUCUGCGCAGUUUGAUGUUAAUCCAAGUCUCAAUGGACACAUGCCUAUAAAUGUGUGGAAAAAGUGCGUGCAGAAUAUGC
rnacentral:lncRNA from 1 species